GGUUGCAUCAGCGUGGGAUUCACGGCGAAAUGAGACUGUUCGUGAGUGAGGGCGUCCCGGGUUGCUUGCCGGUGCUGGCCGCCGCCGGGAGAGCCCGGGGCAGAGCAGAGGUGCUCAUCAGCACUGUAGGCCCGGAAGAUUGUGUGGUCCCGUUCCUGACCCGGCCUAAGGUCCCUGUCUUGCAGCUGGAUAGUGGCAACUACCUCUUCUCCACUAGUGCAAUCUGCCGGUCAGUAUUGGUCCUUGGUGUAGGGAGGUGGCUGAAUCAAAUCAGACCUCACUGUCAUUUGUGUGGCUUUAUUUGCAGCCAUUGUUUCCCUGUGUGAUGAGAAAUGGGCUAAAUGGGCCCUUCUAAGUCCAUCAUCUGUUGCUCUCUCUCUGGGCAGAUAUUUUUUUUUGUUAUCUGGCUGGGAGCAAGAUGACCUCACUAACCAGUGGCUGGAAUGGGAAGCGACAGAGCUGCAGGUAGGACUAAGGUAUGGGGGAUGUCAGGCAGGCCCUUGUUCUGCGUGGCCAUCCUAACUCAUGUCCCCUGCAUUUUAGCCAGCUUUGUCUGCUGCCCUGUACUAUUUAGUGGUCCAAGGCAAGAAGGGGGAAGAUGUUCUUGGUUCAGUGCGGAGAGCCCUGACUCACAUUGAC
rnacentral:sRNA from 1 species